rnacentral:lncRNA from 1 species
AUGUAUGUUAUUCUAAGUUCUCUUAGGGAAAAAAAUCCAAUACUGUAUGUGUAUGUACUUCCAUUUAUACAGCAUGAGGAGAACACUCUCCAGUGUAAGGAGAGGCAGAGAAGCCCCGCUGGGCUUCAGGCAAUGAGGGACAGAGCGGAAGAGCGCUCCGGCAGGGCCCCCUCCCCACCCCGCCGCCGGCCGCAGGGCCCCGGGGUCCCGCCCGCGCUCCUCCCCGCCCAGGACCCCGCGGGAAGCCCGGGCGGGGCGGGGCCUGGGUGCGCGCCGGCGCGCCCAGCAGGUGGCAGCAGCGAGCGGCCGCGCCCCCCGCGCAGCCACCCCGCGAGCCCGCAGCCCGGAUGGCGAGCUCUGCCGCCCGGCUCUGCUCGCCGUGCCAUUCGCGGCCGCAGCCGGGCAGCGGGCUUCAUGAGCCGGGCGCCGGGGCCCGGCAGGGGCCUGCGGCUCCCGACGCCGGCCGAGAGGGCAUGA